rnacentral:rRNA from 1 species
AUUAAUUUUACCAAAAUAGUGUUAAAUCGGGGGGGUGAAAAGUAUUUGUUGAAGAAAUUUUUAUGAGAAGAGCUAUAGUGGAAAAGUACCAGUGAGGGAAAGUUGAAAGAAUUUUAAAUAUUUGAUAAUUGGAAAAGAAGAGGUUAAGUCUUGUACCUUUUGUAUGAUGGUUCAAUAAGGUUGGUUAAAUAAAGUUUUGUGGCCCGAAGAUGGACGAGCUAGUAUAUUCUGCUUUUAGAGAGGAGGCUCUUACUGUUGCAAUAGUAAGGUUUGAGGGUAUACUAGGUGUGAAAUGCUUAUCGUGUUCAUGGAUAGCUGGUUCUCUUUGAAAUUGGUGGAAGCUUAGUAUGUGUUUCUAUUGGAGCUGUUAAUUUUGCUUUUUGGUAAAAGUUGUUAAGGUUUUUAUAGUAGGGCGUUAGUGAGACAGAGGGGGAUAAGCUCUUCUGUUGAGUAGGAGAAAGCUUUAGUUGUUAGUUAAGGGCGUUUUAAACGUGUUGGCGGUUGAAAAGAAGUAGGAUUAAUGGCAUCUAGCUUUGGUGAGGGCGUUAAAGCUUGCUUAUUUUAGUCAGUACGGAGAAUUUAAGAAUAGAUGGAGGUUCGAGACUGCAGGGGAGUAAGAGAGAGUUCUAUGUUUUAUAGUAGAUGUUAUAAUGUUGAAAUUAGUAGGGGGUAUAUUGUUUGUGUGUUAAUCAGGCCUAACUUUGGAUGGGGCAAUAAGGUUGUACAGGAAAGUGGUUUGUGAGGUUGUCUUCUAACGCAAGUAGUAUGCUGGGUUUAAAUUAAGGGGAAGGAACUUGGCAAGUAAGGAUUUCGCCUGUUUACCAAAAACAUCGCCUUUUGUAAAGAAGAUCUGAUGUAUAAGAGGUUCUGCCUGCCCGGUGAUUAUUUAAUUAAACGGCCGCGGUAUUUUGACCGUGCGAAGGUAGCGUAAUUGUUUGCCUUUUAAAUGGAGGCUGGUAUGAAUGGCAAGACGGAGUCUGACUGUCUCCUCCUUAUUUCUUGAAGUUGAUAUUCUUGUGAAGAAGCAGGAAUUGGAUCGUAGGACGAGAAGACCCUGUCGAGCUUUAGUGUUUAGAUGUAGCUGUAAUGAUUAUUGCCUGUGAUGGUUAAUUCUUUCUAUAUUUAGUAUUUUUAUGGAGUUACUUUGGUUGGCGUUAAUUGUUUAUGUUUGACACUUGGGUUGGGGCAACUUCGGAGAAUAAGAAUCCUCCGAUUUUUUUUUGUAAAGAGAAUUUUUUAAAAGGCAUUUUUGCCAGAAAUGAUCCACUUGUUUAGUGAUUAAGAGAAUAAGUUACCGCAGGGAUAACAGCGUAAUUUUUUUGGAGAGUUCAUAUUGAUAAAAGAGUUUGCGACCUCGAUGUUGGAUCGGGAUUUCCGGGAGAUGCAGGAGUUUCCGAGGGUUGGUCUGUUCGACCAUUAAAAUCCUACGUGAUCUGAGUUCAGACCGGUGAGAGCUAGGUCAGUUUCUAUCCACGAUUUUAGUGAGUGGUUCUUCUUAGUACGAAAGGAUUGGAAGGGCAGUAUCAAUGCUUGAAGGUAUAUACUUAUCUGAUAUCCUGAUUAUAAAUAAGGUUUGGAUGGUUGUUUAU